rnacentral:rRNA from 1 species
AUACGGAGGGUGCAAGCGUUACUCGGAAUCACUGGGCGUAAAGCGCGCGCAGGCGGCUAUUUAAGCUGGAUGUGAAAGCCUACGGCUCAACCGUAGAACUGCAUCCAAAACUAUUUAGCUAGAGUGUGGGAGAGGAAGAUGGAAUUAGUUGUGUAGGGGUAAAAUCCGUAGAGAUAACUAGGAAUACCAAAAGCGGAGGCAAUCUUCUGGAACACUACUGACGCUGAGGCGCGAAAGCGUGGGGAGCAAACAGGAUUAGAAACCCUAGUAGUCC